GGUGGGGUAGUUUAUUUUAUAUCGGUGAUUAGUUAAUUUGAUUUAAAUUUGAAUUUAAAAUUUAUUUGGUGGAAUAUUAAAUUUUAAAGUUGAUUGUUAGGUGAGGCUAAAAAAUUUUUGGUUAAAACUAGGAUUAGAUACCCUAUUAUUAAAAAUGUAAAUUUGUACUAAAUUAUUUUAAGUUAUGUUCUUUAAAAUUAAAGAUUUUGGCGGUAUUUUAGUCUAUUCAGAGGAACCUGGCCUUUAAUUGAUGGUCCACGAUUGACUUUACUUUUUUUUACGGUUUACAUAUCGUCGUAAUUUGAAUGUUUUAUUUGAAUUUUAAUGUUCAAGAUUUUUUUAAGAAAAAAAAUCAGAUCAAGGUGUAGUUUAUGGAGAAGAAAGCAGCUGGGUUACGAUAAUUAUUAAAAAUUAAAUUUUAAAUGAUUUAAUAAUUAGGAUUUGAAAGUAAUUUUAAUUUAAUCAUUAAAAUGAUUUUAGCCCUAAAAUAUGCACAUAUCGCCCGUCGCUUUCGUUUUAAGAUGAAAUAAGUCGUAACAAAGUAGGCCUACUGGAAAGUGGGCCUGGAAAGCGAAUUAGAGCUUGAUAAUAAGUAUUUUAUUUACAUUAAAAUGUUAGUUGUGAAAUUCAACUUGAUUUGAAAUUGGAUUUUUUAUUAAAAAUUUUAAUUUUAUGUUUUUUAAUUUAAGUAUAAUUUAUUUUAUUAUGUUUAAGAAAUAAUUAUUUUAAUUAUAGUGAAUUAGUACUGUAAGGGAAUUUGCAAUAAUUAAAUUAAGAAAAAUUGAUUUUU
rnacentral:rRNA from 1 species